rnacentral:rRNA from 6 species
AAGUCUGACGGAGCAACGCCGCGUGAGUGAUGAAGGUUUUCGGAUCGUAAAGCUCUGUUGUUAGGGAAGAACAAGUGCAAGAGUAACUGCUUGCACCUUGACGGUACCUAACCAGAAAGCCACGGCUAACUACGUGCCAGCAGCCGCGGUAAUACGUAGGUGGCAAGCGUUGUCCGGAAUUAUUGGGCGUAAAGGGCUCGCAGGCGGUUUCUUAAGUCUGAUGUGAAAGCCCCCGGCUCAACCGGGGAGGGUCAUUGGAAACUGGGAAACUUGAGUGCAGAAGAGGAGAGUGGAAUUCCACGUGUAGCGGUGAAAUGCGUAGAGAUGUGGAGGAACACCAGUGGCGAAGGCGACUCUCUGGUCUGUAACUGACGCUGAGGAGCGAAAGCGUGGGGAGCGAACAGGAUUAGAUACCCUGGUAGUCCACGCCGUAAACGAUGAGUGCUAAGUGUUAGGGGGUUUCCGCCCCUUAGUGCUGCAGCUAACGCAUUAAGCACUCCGCCUGGGGAGUACGGUCGCAAGACUGAAACUCAAAGGAAUUGACGGGGGCCCGCACAAGCGGUGGAGCAUGUGGUUUAAUUCGAAGCAACGCGAAGAACCUUACCAGGUCUUGACAUCCUCUGACAACCCUAGAGAUAGGGCUUUCCCUUCGGGGACAGAGUGACAGGUGGUGCAUGGUUGUCGUCAGCUCGUGUCGUGAGAUGUUGGGUUAAGUCCCGCAACGAGCGCAACCCUUGAUCUUAGUUGCCAGCAUUUAGUUGGGCACUCUAAGGUGACUGCCGGUGACAAACCGGAGGAAG